AACUGUGGAGGAGGACAAGACAAAAGAGGAAAAGAAAGGGAGAUGAGGAGGACAAAGCAAGAGGGGAGAAGAAGAGAAGGGCACCCAGUCAACUACAAAUGGCACAAAGAGACAGAUCACAGUGCAGAAUCAGGCAGAAUGUGUCCCUAUAAGGAGCAUAUACAGUGUGUUCAGAUACACAUCCAGAAGGCCAGAAUAGCUCCAGUGAAAUGCUGCACUGACUACCAGUUCAACUUCACCCGGAAGACAGGGUAGAGAACAUCUCAGAAGAGUAUCUUAAUUGAGGAUAAUAGGUAGGAGCAAGAAGCCAAAGCAGAAGAAAACAAAAACUGACUGGAGCUAGAAAUGCCAUCUCUCUGGACUGACCCGCUCCCUUCUCCUUUUCAGUUUGCAUCUCUCUAAGUGUUUGUCCAUGUGGGCACCACCAGAACCCGGGCACAGCCUUCUCUCUCUCAGAAGAGGACUGCCCUGCCCCCUGAAGUUCCCAACACUUGAGAGGAC